AAUAGAUACCCAGGUAGUCCACGCCGUAAACGAUGAGUGCUAAGUGUUAGGGGGUUUCCGCCCCUUAGUGCUGCAGCUAACGCAUUAAGCACUCCGCCUGGGGAGUACGGUCGCAAGACUGAAACUCAAAGGAAUUGACGGGGGCCCGCACAAGCGGUGGAGCAUGUGGUUUAAUUCGAAGCAACGCGAAGAACCUUACCAGGUCUUGACAUCCCGCUGACCGCUAUGGAGACAUAGUUUUCCCUUCGGGGACAGCGGUGACAGGUGGUGCAUGGUUGUCGUCAGCUCGUGUCGUGAGAUGUUGGGUUAAGUCCCGCAACGAGCGCAACCCUUGUUCUUAGUUGCCAUCAUUUAGUUGGGCACUCUAAGGAGACUGCCGGUGACAAACCGGAGGAAGGUGGGGAUGACGUCAAAUCAUCAUGCCCCUUAUGACCUGGGCUACACACGUGCUACAAUGGACGGUACAAACGGUCGCGAAGUCGCGAGACGGAGCCAAUCCGAUAAAACCGUUCUCAGUUCGGAUUGUAGGCUGCAACUCGCUA
rnacentral:rRNA from 1 species